UGGGGAAUCUUAGACAAUGGGGGCAACCCUGAUCUAGCCAUGCCGCGUGAGUGACGAAGGUCUUAGGAUCGUAAAGCUCUUUCGCCGGGGAAGAUAAUGACUGUACCCGGUAAAGAAGUCCCGGCUAACUCCGUGCCAGCAGCCGCGGUAAUACGGAGGGGACUAGCGUUGUUCGGAUUUACUGGGCGUAAAGCGCGCGUAGGCGGAUCAGUCAGUCAGGGGUGAAAUCCCGGGGCUCAACCCCGGAACUGCCUUUGAUACUGCUGGUCUUGAGUUCGAGAGAGGUGAGUGGAACUCCGAGUGUAGAGGUGAAAUUCGUAGAUAUUCGGAAGAACACCAGUGGCGAAGGCGGCUCACUGGCUCGAUACUGACGCUGAGGUGCGAAAGUGUGGGGAGCAAACAGGAUUAGAUACCCCCGUAGUCC
rnacentral:rRNA from 1 species